UCCUCCGUGGCGCAAUUGGCUAGCGCGUCUGACUGUUAUCCAUAUCUAUGGUAGCUCAUCAGGAGGUUGAAAGUUCGAGCCUUUCCGGGGGAG